UACGGAGGUGGCAAGCGUUGUCCGGAUUUAUUGGGUUUAAAGGGUGCGUAGGCGGCCCUGUAAGUCAGUGCUGAAAUAUCCCGGCUUAACCGGGAGGGUGGCAUUGAUACUGCAGGGCUUGAGUACAGAUGAAGUAGGCGGAAUUGACGGUGUAGCGGUGAAAUGCAUAGAUAUCGUCAAGAACACCGAUAGCGAAGGCAGCUUACUAAGCUGUAACUGACGCUGAGGCACGAAAGUGUGGGGAGCAAACAGG
rnacentral:rRNA from 1 species